rnacentral:rRNA from 1 species
GAUGAACGCUGGCGGCGUGCCUAAUACAUGCAAGUCGAGCGAAUGGAUUAAGAGCUUGCUCUUAUGAAGUUAGCGGCGGACGGGUGAGUAACACGUGGGUAACCUGCCCAUAAGACUGGGAUAACUCCGGGAAACCGGGGCUAAUACCGGAUAACAUUUUGAACCGCAUGGUUCGAAAUUGAAAGGCGGCUUCGGCUGGAACUUAUGGAAGGACCGGCGUCGCAUUAGCUAGUUGGUGAGGUAACGGCUCACCAAGGCAACGAUCGGUAGCCCACCUGAGAGGGUGAUCGGCCACACUGGGACUGAGACACGGCCCAGACUCCUACGGGAGGCAGCAGUAGGGAAUCUUCCGCAAUGGACGAAAGUCUGACGGAGCAACGCCGCGUGAGUGAUGAAGGCUUUCGGGUCGUAAAACUCUGUUGUUAGGGAAGAACAAGUGCUAGUUGAAUAAGCUGGCACCUUGACGGUACCUAACCAGAAAGCCACGGCUAACUACGUGCCAGCCGCCGCAGUAA